UACGUAGGGCGCAAGCGUUGUCCGGAAUUAUUGGGCGUAAAGAGCUCGUAGGCGGUUUGUCGCGUCUGCCGUGAAAGCCCGGGGCUUAACUCCGGGUCUGCGGUGGAUACGGGCAGACUAGAGGCAGGUAGGGGAGAACGGAAUUCCCGGUGUAGCGGUGAAAUGCGCAGAUAUCGGGAGGAACACCGGUGGCGAAGGCGGUUCUCUGGGCCUGUACUGACGCUCAGGGGCGAAAGCGUGGGGAGCAAACCGG
rnacentral:rRNA from 1 species